rnacentral:rRNA from 1 species
GGCAGCACGGGAGCUUGCUCCUGGUGGCGAGUGGCGAACGGGUGAGUAAUGUAUCGGAACGUGCCCAGUCGUGGGGGAUAACUAUCCGAAAGGAUAGCUAAUACCGCAUACGACCUGAGGGUGAAAGCGGGGGACCUGCAAGGGCCUCGCGCGAUUGGAGCGGCCGAUAUCGGAUUAGCUAGUUGGUGGGGUAAAGGCUCACCAAGGCGACGAUCCGUAGCGGGUCUGAGAGGACGACCCGCCACACUGGAACUGAGACACGGUCCAGACUCCUACGGGAGGCAGCAGUGGGGAAUUUUGGACAAUGGGGGCAACCCUGAUCCAGCCAUUCCGCGUGAGUGAAGAAGGCCUUCGGGUUGUAAAGCUCUUUCAGCAGGAACGAAACGGUCGACUUUAAUACAGUCGGCUAAUGACGGUACCUGCANAAGAAGCACCGGCUAACUACGUGCCAGCAGCCGCGGUAAUACGUAGGGUGCGAGCGUUAAUCGGAAUUACUGGGCGUAAAGCGUGCGCAGGCGGUGACAUAAGACAGAUGUGAAAUCCCCGGGCUCAACCUGGGAACUGCGUUUGUGACUGUGUCNCUCGAGUGUANCAGAGGGGGGGUGGAAUUCCACGUGUAGCA